UGUGAGGCUGGGACUUCCCUCGCGUGGAGUGGCCAGAGGAGCAGGACCGAUUGGUUCGCCCCACCCAGGCAUGAGCCUCGGGGGCGCUGGGCCCAGAGGACACCGGCACCCUGGUGGGGGCUGUGAGGCCGCAUUGCUCGAGGUCAGACAGCAGUAAGAAGUGGCCGCCCCUGGUGUCUUCCCUGCCCCAGGAGCCUGCUGCACGACAGGACAGGGCCCUGUAGACACGGGGUUUCACCAUGUUGACCAAGAUGGCCUUGAUCUCCUGACCUCGUGAUCCACCCGCCUCGGCCUCCCAAAGUGCUGGGAUGACAGGCGUGAGCCCCCGCGCCCGGCCUGCUGACCCGUUUCUUCGAGGCACAUGUUACGUUCCUGCGUGGGGUGCCAGCAAGUUUUAUUUCAGCUGUGGUGACCUGUGCAGCUCCCAGUGACAACUCAAGUGGCGACGCCCUCCGACUGGCCAACGUGGGCCGAUCUCCCCUCACACUGCCAACCUGGGGACAUCCUGGGUGCAGCCCUGUCCUCCACCCACUCCAUGCCAGCCAAAGAUGUCCCCAGAGGCCGCCUGGUGUCCCCUGGGGUGGGGCUCGCUUCUGUCUGCAGGGUGAGCAGAAGCUCUCGG
rnacentral:lncRNA from 10 species